rnacentral:rRNA from 1 species
UUUGAUCCUGGCUCAGGAUGAACGCUAGCGGCAGGCCUAACACAUGCAAGUCGAACGGUAACAGGAAAUAGCUUGCUAUUUUGCUGACGAGUGGCGCACGGGUGCGUAACGCGUAUACAAUCUACCUUUUGCUGAGGGAUAGCCCAGAGAAAUUUGGAUUAAUACCUCAUGGUAUUAUUGAUAGGCAUCUAUUAAUAAUUAAAGGUUACGGCAAAAGAUGAGUAUGCGUCCCAUUAGCUAGUUGGUGAAGUAACGGUUCACCAAGGCAACGAUGGGUAGGGGUCCUGAGAGGGAGAUCCCCCACACUGGUACUGAGACACGGACCAGACUCCUACGGGAGGCAGCAGUGAGGAAUAUUGGACAAUGGGCGAGAGCCUGAUCCAGCCAUGCCGCGUGCAGGAAGACUGCCCUAUGGGUUGUAAACUGCUUUUAUACAGGAAGAAUAAGCNUUACGUGUAAGGUGAUGACGGUACUGUAAGAAUAAGGACCGGCUAACUCCGUGCCAGCAGCCGCGGUAAUAAGGG